CCCCGGACUAUAUUCCCACUGUUUUCUCUCAUAAAGUCACCCCAGAAGAAAAUAGCAGCGAAAAAUAUGGCGAAGUUUCAUCUAAGCCAGGCAAUGAAAGAAAAGGAAGUCGUGAGGAGUGAUUUCUGGUAGUGAUGCGGCUGCGCCUCUCACGACGUUUAUUUCCACCAUUUAUAUUUCAAUAAUUCAUAUGCAACAGUAGGCUUGCCAACCCUCUCGGAUUCGCGGGGAGUAUUCCGGAAUCGUAUCGUCACAUUUAUUUACGUGUGGCCCAAUUUCAUGAGCGAUGCCAGUAAUCUAUCACGUGGUACGUCAGCCAUAGCAAGAGUGAAAGAUAACUCACGUGUUGUAGUCCAAUUAACAUCGAUCUUUUGUUUACAUUUUUGUUCUUACAUUUUUCUUUUUAUAAUUGCCAUGGAUAGUGUUGAAAAAUAUAAAAAAGGUGGAGGCAGUUCUUGUGCCGUUAAUGGUUGUUCAAAUAAUCGACGCUAACUGAAUAUAUGGAAGGAAUCUAUGUGUAAAAUACACGGCCAAUUGCAUAAAGACUGUGCGUGUUUAAUUCCGUUUAAAUUUCAUUCUGUACCGUCAUAUGAGCCAACAAAACUUGAAUGGAUUAAAGCUAUUAACCGAAAAACAUUACCGAAGAAAGUGUACGUUUGUUCCGAGCACGUUUUAGAUGGAAUGCCGACGGAGAUAAACCCAUACCCAAAGAUAAAAUUAGGUUAUGAAACUAAAGCAACACCCGGUCGGCGAAAACUGCUGAAACAUUCACAAAGUCCAAGUGUUAAAAAAAGUAAAUUGGCAAGCAGCAGUGGCGAUCAAAAUGAGGAAACAUACGAUUUCGUGCAAAGUGAAUUAGACAGUUCGAUUGAUGAAACAAGUACUAUUAUUUCCGAUAGCAUUUGUGAUAAUUGAGUUACUGAAACAGCAACUUCGUUUACACAGUACGACGAAUUGGACCUUAAACUUCGCAAUGACCAUUGUUAUGCACAAGAAUGGACAGACGUUCAAAGAAGAUAAUUUCUCUUCAUCGAAAGACAACAACCGAAGUUACAACAAAUAAUUAAAAGUUGGCACAGGUAGAAAAUCUGGAACCAGGUACUUGAUGUGAAAAAUCCUUGAUUCUGUUUAGUCUAACUACAAAUUUUGGAACCAUGGAAGUAUUGAAGGUGAAGGAUGAAUACUUUUCUGAUGAGGAGCAAGAUGCUCUGUUGGAUAUCAAAUUGAUGAAAAAUGAAGAGACAUUUACAUUACCUG